GUGAGGAAUAUUGGUCAAUGGGCGGGAGCCUGAACCAGCCAAGUCGCGUGAAGGAAGAAGGAUCUAUGGUUCGUAAACUUCUUUUGCAGGGGAAUAAAGUGCGGGACGUGUCCUGUUUUGUAUGUACCCUGAGAAUAAGGAUCGGCUAACUCCGUGCCAGCAGCCGCGGUAAUACGGAGGAUCCGAGCGUUAUCCGGAUUUAUUGGGUUUAAAGGGUGCGUAGGUGGUUUGAUAAGUCAGCGGUGAAAGUUUGUAGCUUAACUGUAAAAAUGCCGUUGAAACUGUCGGACUUGAGUGUAAAUGAGGUAGGCGGAAUGCGUGGUGUAGCGGUGAAAUGCAUAGAUAUCACGCAGAACUCCGAUUGCGAAGGCAGCUUACUAAGCUGCAACUGACACUGAAGCACGAAAGCGUGGGGAUCAAACAGGAUUAGAAACCCCGGUAGUCC
rnacentral:rRNA from 1 species